UUCAGAGGAGCCAAGCGUUGUCCGGAUUGACUGGGCGUAAAGCGCACGCAGGCGGUCGCGCGCGUGGGGUGUGAAAUCUGGCCGCUUAACGGCCAGGCGCCAUCCCAUACGGCGCGACUGGAGUGAUGCAGAGGUCGGUGGAGUUGCCGGUGUAGUGGUGGAAUGCGUAGAGAUCGGCAGGAACACCCAGGGGGAAACCAGCCGACUGGGCAUCAACUGACGCUGAGGUGCGAGAGCGUGGGGAGCGAACCGG
rnacentral:rRNA from 1 species